AGACAACCUUAUUGGGCAAGAUUUGCUUCAGUGGGGCUUUGGUGCUCACUGAGUCUGCCCCCUGAGUGUGUCCCU
rnacentral:pre_miRNA from 1 species